rnacentral:misc_RNA from 1 species
GGUCCCAGCGAGUCAAGCUCCAGCAACAACUAUCUAUCAUACUCAUAUCCAUAUCUACACCAUACUCAUGCCAAUACACACACAUGUAGCUCUAAAUUAUCCUCAGGGCAGCAAUCACAAAUAAAUAACAAUAAUUAAAUAUGCAGCAACUAUAUUACUACUAAUACAUUAAAUAUUUAUGUGCAUAAUUAAAUAUUUAUAAAAUGCAUAAGUAUGCUAGAUAUAUAUUUAAUAUUGAAAUUAAAAAAAUAAUUAAUAUCUAACUCACAGACAGGUUGACCCAACUACAGCUGAUUCAACUAGAAGGGAGAAGACUGAUUGGCAC